rnacentral:lncRNA from 1 species
GGUUUCUUUUUAAAGUAGUAAUGAAAAGAGAAAGACAAAUCUAGGAGGUUAUACUAUUAUACAUUAUGGUUUGGAUAAUUUGUAUUUGUUGCCACUAAUCUUUGAAAGCCACUAGAUUUUUAUAUAAUGAUGAAUCUUGAUAUGAUGUUGUUGUAUGAAAUCUUACUUUAAAAAUCUUUUUAUUUAUUUAUUUAUAUAAUGUAGUAAUGAACUCUCUGAUUGUUAAUAGCAUGUAGAAGGGAAAAACUCUGCUUCAAAUGGUGGGCUGUCAUGCCUCCAACAAUUUCCACCAUUAAGUGAAAAAGGAGCAAGUGUUUGGAAAUUAAAGUAGUAAUUUAUAUUCACCAUUAUAUUUCCACUCUUGUAUUAUAUUACAGGAGAUAAUAUUAUGCCUAAUCAGGUACGGUAUCAUUUCCCUCAAUUGGGUGGCAGUGGCAUGUCUUGUUCCUUUCUGCCCAGAAAAUUGUUAAGACUUUUACUAUAUAUGAUGCUCUGUUUGGUGAAUAAUUUCUUUCUUUUGGGUCUUUCCUUUUAUAGCCAAACAGCAAAUGAAAUGAUAUGCUUGACUUAUAUGUUUAAGUAGAGCCAAAAGAAGUGCUAUAAAACGGAAUUUUGCCCAAGUAGCUAAAUUCUUCCUUCUCAGUGUUUUGGAAAAAAUUGGAUUCAUUUCCAAAUGUUUCAUUAUUAUACCAACAACAGAGUGUGUUUAUGGGCAUUUUUGGUGUUUGAUUUUGCUUCAAUCAUGAUAUGGGAAAUGCUUGGUGACUUAGUAGGUCAAUAUUAAGUUACGGUAACUUCAAUUUGGUGUAUAAUUAGUGUUUGAUUAUGCUCUAUAUAAGUCAUGAUUAUUUAAUGUAUUCCAUCGUAUGAUACUACUGCGAGAAAUAACUGAUUAUUUCGUUAUAUAAUUAGUUGUAUAAUUAGCAUAUAAGUCAUGUUUGGCAUGAGUUUAGAGUUGGAACUCAGGAUGCUGUUGUAUUUAUGUAAUAUAUUUCAGCAGAAUAUAUGGUAGGUUUUGUGCUUUGAGCCUAAUUGAGUUGUGUAUGAGAGCAUGUGCCAAUAAUUUCACAAUUAUUCCCACAGGAGUUGCUCCAAAUCUUACAUUGCCUGCAUGUGAUUGAACGCGGGAAAAUAUUAAUUCUUUGGAGUCCAUUAUAUCUGUUGUACGGUGAAAUGCUACUGUGUUUCCAUGGUAGGAUUGUCUGACUUCUGGCUCCGUACUAAAAAAUGAACAGAGAGGAGUCACUCAUGAAAUACCACAAAGGUAACAUGAUGUUUCUUUUCUUUGUAAUGUUAACAUAAACUGCCUUAAUAUGACUCGAGCCCGGAUCACAUUCAGAGAGGUGACUGGCACUAACAGUCCGAUUGAGCGCAGAUGUUUCAGACCAUAAGUUAUUUGAAUCUUAUUCGAAGUGUUGAUCUGACAAAUGGAAGAGAUAAAUUAACAGGGGUUGGAGUUGCAAUUGAUUCACUUUUUUUAGCUCUUGGUUUAAGGAUAGUAAGGCAAAAUUCUGCUUGAGACGACCCAAUAUCAAUUGAGAUCGCAGAUGGUAUCCUAUGUUCAUAUAUGUAUAUAUAUAUACGAACAUACGUAUACACCCCCCAUAUGGUAAUCAAAGGAAUGGAACGUUAACCAUUAUAUCAACUCUUAUCACGCACCGACAUAGGAGUUUUCUCCGUCAUCUUUACUAAUGCACAUAAACAUAUAUAGAUAUAUAAACAUAAAGCGAAAAUUCCAAGCAUUAGCUAAGAAUAAACAUGAACUGGUAAAAUGCAAUAACUACUUGGAACAUCUCUGCAAAUAGGCUAAGUAAUACUAAUAAUUCAACGAGUAAAUUUUUACUCUCUUUGGAAGUUGUUAUAUUAUACAAAAAUUACUAAAAUAAAGAUGAACAAUAUUGUAUUUUUACAGACUACAUUAUAUAUACUGCUCC